AACGCUGGCGGCGUGCUUAACACAUGCAAGUCGAACGGAAAGGCCCUGCUUUUGUGGGGUGCUCGAGUGGCGAACGGGUGAGUAACACGUGAGUAACCUGCCCUUGACUUUGGGAUAACUUCAGGAAACUGGGGCUAAUACCGGAUAGGAGCUCCUGCUGCAUGGUGGGGGUUGGAAAGUUUCGGCGGUUGGGGAUGGACUCGCGGCUUAUCAGCUUGUUGGUGGGGUAGUGGCUUACCAAGGCUUUGACGGGUAGCCGGCCUGAGAGGGUGACCGGCCACAUUGGGACUGAGAUACGGCCCAGACUCCUACGGGAGGCAGCAGUGGGGAAUAUUGCACAAUGGGCGGAAGCCUGAUGCAGCAACGCCGCGUGCGGGAUGACGGCCUUCGGGUUGUAAACCGCUUUCGCCUGUGACGAAGCGUGAGUGACGGUAAUGGGUAAAGAAGCACCGGCUAACUACGUG
rnacentral:rRNA from 1 species